rnacentral:rRNA from 1 species
CCUACGGGUGGCAGCAGUGGGGAAUAUUGCACAAUGGGCGCAAGCCUGAUGCAGCCAUGCCGCGUGUGUGAAGAAGGCCUUCGGGUUGUAAAGCACUUUCAGCGGGGAGGAAGGCGGUGAGGUUAAUAACCUCAUCGAUUGACGUUACCCGCAGAAGAAGCACCGGCUAACUCCGUGCCAGCAGCUGCGGUAAUACGGAGGGUGCAAGCGUUAAUCGGAAUUACUGGGCGUAAAGCGCACGCAGGCGGUCUGUCAAGUCGGAUGUGAAAUCCCCGGGCUCAACCUGGGAACUGCAUUCGAAACUGGCAGGCUAGAGUCUUGUAGAGGGGGGUAGAAUUCCAGGUGUAGCGGUGAAAUGCGUAGAGAUCUGGAGGAAUACCGGUGGCGAAGGCGGCCCCCUGGACAAAGACUGACGCUCAGGUGCGAAAGCGUGGGGAGCAAACAGGAUUAGAUACCCCUGUAGUC